UACGUAGGGUGCAAGCGUUAAUCGGAAUUACUGGGCGUAAAGCGUGCGCAGGCGGUUAUGUAAGACAGAGGUGAAAUCCCCGGGCGUCAACCUGGGAACGUGCGCUUGUGACUGCCUCACUAGAGUACGGCAGAGGGGGGUGGAAUUCCACGUGUAGCAGUGAAAUGCGUAGAGAUGUGGAGGAACACCGAUGGCGAAGGCAGCCCCCU
rnacentral:rRNA from 1 species